rnacentral:lncRNA from 1 species
UUUAGCUGCUUUGGAAAACAUCAGUCAGUUAUCGAGCUAGUUAUCUAUCUAAUAAGCAAGGAAAGACCCAUUCAAGGUUAGAUUCCAUCCUUUCUGUUUCAGAAAUGCUGUCACCAUGCCAAACCCCCAGGUAUCUUAUGGUAAGAUGGGAGUGGCAUUGCUAUUCACUUUACCUCUUUUAAAAUUCAUCACUGGGCUGUCAUUUCAGCAACAUCUUAACAAGUGAAAACCCUUCUGUGAGUCAAUAGUAAUUAUAGGAAUUUAUCACAAUUGCCAAUCAAGGUAUACUGAAGAGACUCAUCUUUCUUGCUAAAUUAGCUUUCACUGCACGAAACAGUGAGUUAUCUUUAGGAAAUCAAUUGUGGGGGGGAAAUUACAGCUUUCACAGAGUGACAUAACCUUGCCAACCAUCUUGUUAUACAUAAUUCCUCUACCAAGAAAUUCAGCUGGGCUUACUUUGCUUAUUUUUCAGAGAUUACAUUUCACUAUGGGAAAUAGGAAAGAAUGACUUUAAAGGCCCAGAAAAAAGCCAGCCCCAGGAAGCCAAGAAAAGACAGAGGAAAGGUUCAGUGAGUGUAACUGGCGCUAUAGGAAAUGUUAACAACUGGGUGGUCAUCAUCUCCAAAGGCUCUAAUGCACUGGUUUGGAAAAAACAACAACUGGACACCAAUGAUUGAGCAUCCUGAGCCAGGCUGAUCAUCUAAAGUCACACACACUGAUUGGGGGAUGAACCGUGAAGGAAAACCACAGGGUACAGAUGCAUGGAGAGUGAGCUGCAGUGAGUUGAAGCCAGCACUGAGCUGUCAAAGAGCUGGGUCCAGGAGCACUAAGUUGCGGAAAGAAACGAAUAUAUCUCAUUAUAGCCCAUUACAGAGAUUUCCCUUGAAAGAUGCUUGUGGUAAUGGCUUGGAAGGAACACUUUCCUCUUUAUUAUUGGAAAAGAGGCUGCAUACUGUUCUUUGGGUUGGCUCAGGAAGCUGGCUGAUUGCAACGAGGCUGAAUUUCAGUGCUUGAAGAGAAAUGGGCCUUCUUCUUUGAUGAACACAGAUGAAGUUGCAAUUUGCCACCCUCAAUCAACAACGUCGGGGAAAUCAGCAAAGGGCAUCAUUCAGUCAUGUUUUGUAAUAGAUGUGAGACCCAGUUCUUUGCACAGCAGCCCUGGAGUUCACCCUUCUGACAGUUCCCAUCGUGUCCCUUAGCUACAGGAUGAUCUCAGAUGCAUUUGGAAUGGAUUUCAGCUUUGCUUUGGGAUGCGCAUAGAAUAAUUGCUUUGGAAACAAUACCCUCAUGAUUAAAAAAACCCAAUGCAGCUAAAAAUAUUUAAAGCAGGAAUCAUCCUGAAUAAAGGACUUGGCAAAACACA